rnacentral:tRNA from 4 species
GCCGGAGUAGCUCAGUGGCCAGAGCAGCCGACUUGUAAUCGGCAGGUCAGGGGUUCGACUCCCCUCUCCGGCUCCA